UGCGUAGGUGGUUUCUUAAGUCAGAGGUGAAAGGCUACGGCUCAACCGUAGUAAGUCUUUGAAACUGGGAAACUUGAGUGCAGGAGAGGAGAGUGGAAUUCCUAGUGUAGCGGUGAAAUGCGUAGAUAUUAGGAGGAACACCAGUGGCGAAGGCGGCUUACUGGACGGUAACUGACGUUGAGGCUCGAAAGCGUGGGGAGCAAACAA
rnacentral:rRNA from 1 species